AGAACUUGGAACAUGACACCCAGAGGUGCAGGAGCCCAUCUGCAACCACAAGGACAAAACUCUACACUGACAAGGGUGGAGUAGAAAAUGAGUGAGCCUAUAUUCUAGACAAUCCGACUCUUCAGACAGCCUGGAACUGUUGACAAAGUUAGUCCAACUGAUUCAGACACAGCCCACCGGGGACAGCCGAGGAGGCUCCCAGCGCGCCCAGCGCCCAGGCCUUCAGUUGCUCAGGUUCACUGUGUUCCUGGAAUUCAAUUACAUAUAAUGGCCCUCACACAAUAGCGGUGGAUGCCAGAGGCAAAAGCUUUUUGGCUGUUACAAAUAAUGGAUGAAAUAAGGCCAUUUCCCAGAUACAACGGCAACUGGCUUCUGAUGAAUCCCCUCAAAUUGGUCUGCGUUGGAAAUGGCCAAAUAUCACUGUU